UGUUUUUUUGUUUUCUAAUCGGAAUUCUAUUUCAUUUUGGACGGCCAUUUAUGUAUUCAAUUCUGUGUAACACUGCGUUUGAGAUGGAAUUUCAUUUAUAGGAUUUUUUAGCGAUUGGAUUGGAGCUCUUACUAUUAGAGAUUGCGUGUAAACAUUUCCAACGCUUGGAUUGUGUUCGGAGUGAUUGCGUUGGCUUCUUUUUAUGGAUUUUUGAUAUUCUUACUCGAUUAUGGAUUUGGUCUCUGGUUACAAGGUGAUCUCUCUCACUUCUCUGCAUCCGAAGUUUCAUGGAUUAUGAUGUUUAGGACAGUAAUUGGUGCUUGUUUGUAGUUUUUUAUACGAUCUUUAGUAUUGUGUUUUAUCUGUGAGCUUUGUGCAGGGCGUGGUUGGGCUUGAUUUCGGCAAUGAGAAUUCUGCAUCCAAUAAAGAUAGCAAUGGUCAGCUUGCAGAGGACAGGAGAGCUGCUAUGGUGGAGCUUCAGUCUGUUGUAGCAGAAAAUCGUUCUGCCCAACUACCUUUUGGUGCAAUGGGAUUUCCUGUGCUUAUGAGUGUUUUAAAGGAGGAACGAGAUGAUGUUGAAAUGGUUGCAGUUUAUCUGUUCUUUGCUUCCCCUUUAUUGAGAAAUUAAAUCUUGCUUUAGGACUUCUAGUUGUGCUUUCAUUCUGAACAAAGUACAUGUUAUUGCCAUUUCAAGAAGUAUUGGAACAACUAAAGAUAAUAUUACAUGGUUCUAGGGGCCCUUGAAUCUCUUGUAAGUGCAUUGACUCCUCUCGAUCAUGCAAAUGGGUCCAGGGAUGAAGUUCAAAUCUGAUGAACUCUGAUUUGGUUGCAAGGGAAUCAGACAGCAUAUCUCUUCUUUUAAGUCUUUUGGUCAGUAAUUCCCCACAUUUACUUACAUUUUCAAUAUCUAUAGGUUUGGGUAUGCAUUUGUGCAACUCAGUAUCAUAUCUGAUCACUUUUCUCCUCCCUUCUUUGGGUUUCUUUCUGUGCUUUUGCAGUCAGAAGAGGAUUUUUUUAUGUUAGAUAUUAUGCUCUUCAACUGUUGACAGCUCUUCUUUCAAAUUCUCCCACGAGUUAUAUUUAUUUUGCGACUCUUUCUGUACUUUUUACUAUUCUCAUUACUUGAAUUGCUGAUUUUCCUCUUAAGAUUGGAGGAAGCAAUUCUCAGCAUUCCUCGCGUUAUAACUCGACUUAUGGACAUGCUUAUGGACCGUGAGGUAUACUUUGGCUAACUAAUAUAGAUAAGAACAGAAAAAUUAUAACACGGGACUCGCUGAUCUCUGAGCAUCCCAAAAAUAUUGAUGCUAUUGCAUGCAAACUCCUUGGAGACAAUGUGCUGCAAGAGCCUGCCCUGAAUUCAAUUCUUAGGAUCACUUUGCGGACAUCAAGUACCCAAGAAUACUUCGCAGUUGAUUAUGUUUUCAAUUGAUUUUGUGAGAAAAAUUCUGAUGGGCAAACAAUGUUGGCAUCCACUUUAAUUCCUCAACCAUAGUCCAUGAUCCAUGCACCACUUGAGGAGGAUGUGAACAUGUCAUUCGGAAGCAUGCUCUUACAUAGUCUUACUUUGAGCGAAAACUAGGGGGUUCUAGAGGUAACGUAUAUUAUAAUGUCGAAGGAAUGUUGAAAUAUAUGAUAUGGCACGAGUGCUGCAUCACAAAGUAUCAGUAGUUCUUGGAUGUCCCCGAAGGUUUAUUCACAAGUAUCCUGAGUUCAAUAAUGACAACAAGAGCUGCCAGUGUUCUUACUCGUGUGAUUAAGAACAACAAUCAGUGCAACUAUGCCAUCCUUUGGAGAUCCUGAACCUCUGAUGCAUCGAAUGGUGAAGUAUUUGGCUGUUGCCUCUUCUAUGAAAAACAGAAAUGGGAAGUUCCGACAAGGUCUACGGCUGCUAGUAUGGCUGAAUUAAGGCAGAAGCAAGGGAAGAAGAUCUGAAGGAGAGUGAGACUGAAGUGAAUGACUUGCAUGUGUGCCUCGUGCAAGAACAAAGCAAGGCUAUUGGAGUUCGGAGAGGAUGUUGAUAAACUUCUUGAAGGAAUCGGAGAUGGCCUCGGGCUGCCUAACGACGACGAAGAUGACGGAGAUGAAACCUGAUAUGCUGUAUGUGAUGCUCCUGUGCCUUAACAGAUUGUAUAUUAUCAAGUUUAUAACAAUUUAAUCUAUUAACUUUUAAUAAAUAAUAGUUUGAUUUUUUUUUU